CAUCAAUUAAGAAGCUCCAGUGAACAGAGAUUUUAAAAAAAUAAUACCUAUUUUGAAUAUUUAUUUCCCACUUCUUUCUCCAAACUCUGUUCUCAGCUGGUGGUUAAAUAAAAGGCCUGUUAUUUUGGUCAUCCCCCCAAAAUAAACAAACAAAACCUAAAUAUUUUCCCUAACACUUGAGUGGGAAUUCGGUAUCUUUAGGAGUAGGCAAAUAACAAUGCUUUGGUUUGGAUCUGUCACCUUCUUUCUUUUAAAAAGUGUGUUUAUUAUUGCACAUUUAAAGAGCACAUAUUCAAUACUACUUUGCUUUCCAUGUUAAAAGAUGAAAACAUUUCUUCUGAUUAUUCAGGCUUUAUCUUAAGGAAUAAUCAAUAGCAGAGGGAACUGACAAGAAAAAUAAUUCACACAAGUGCUUAAAAAACAUCUAAGCAAAUAAACUUUGAAAACAUAAAAAAGAAAAGAAUUUCUAAAAGUGCUUUCGUAGAGAUAUAUGCAGCCUGAUGUGGGAUCGCAGGCACAAGUAAAAAUGAAGUAAAUAAUUUUGAAAUAGGAUGAUGGGUUGGAAUUCCCAUUGUGGCUCAACAGUAAUGAACCCCACUAGUAUCCAUGAGGUUUGAUCCCUGGCCUUGCUCAGUGGGUUAAGGAUCUGGCCUUGCCAUACGCUGUUGUGUAGAUUGCAGAUGCAGCUCGGAUCUGGUGUUGUUGUGGCUAUGGUGUAGGUCAGCAGCUGCAGCUCCGAUUCAACCUAUAACUUGGGAACUUCCAUAUGCUGCAGGUGCAGCCCUAAAAAGCAAAAAAGAAAUAGGAUGAUGGGUUAAUUUUGACUAAGUGGGUAGCAUUUAAACUGAGAUUUGAAAGAUAAACAGGGUUGUAAUGGCAGAGAAAUCAGUGUUUUCUCUUCUUCAGUGUACUCGUUCAUUCCUGGUAUUCCUUAAACUGAGAUUUCUCACUGAGAUUUCCUCACUGAGGAAAUUCCUUUCUCAAUCUCCACCACUCAGUGUUGUUGAUUAGACAUGCCUUCCCCAUCAAAUUUGGCAGCUCUUCUCAUGGUAGAAAAGGUUCAUGGGCAAUAUCUGCAGGUGUUUUUGUGUGUGAUAAGACUUCACAGCAGCUGCUCCUGCCAUCCAGGCAGCAGCGUCAGAAAUUUGUCAAGGAAACUUUCAUCUUUGUGUCACUUAGAGCCUUGAUUUAUCAUUAUACUGCAGGGCAGUAGGUGACUUGUAAGCCACAGGUUGAUGUCUCAAAUCUGUCUAGACUCAGAGUCUAAGGCCCAUCCUGCAGGUUCUUAAGUAAUUGAGCCCAAGAAACUUGUUCCCUGCUCCCCGAGUCUCUCCAAGCCUGGGCAUGAGCUGUGCUGAACCAUCUAUGCCACAGGCCAUUUGUCAGCAUAUCGUGUUAGAAAUCACCUUAGGUCUCCUGUCCUGUUUUAUCAAAAAAGCAGUGUCAAGUGUUUGGGUAAUGGGAGAUUCAGGCCCAUGUAGUCCAAUUUUCACUGAGUGGCCUCUUCAGACCUGCGUCCUUGUGAUGGGAAGUGAUGUUCAUCAUAGAAUGUUUUCAGCCCUAUGAUAUAUUCAUCCUGGGCCACAUUUUAGUGUCAUUAAUGGGGCUUUUCUCAAAAUUAGGUACAGUAGCCCAUAAUAUAUCAAAGUUUAAAAUUCUCCAACUCUGCCACUCCUGGGCUUGUCACCUCUCCACUGCUGACAUCUGUCUACGCUUGCCUGUUCUAUUCCAGUUUGAUAUGACUUAAGAUGUUCUCACACAAAGGAUCUUCUACUUGUGCAAAUAUUUUCUUACUUUUCUCAUGAUUAAGUUGCUUGCAUAUGCCCAACAGAGUCUACUGAAUUUCUAAGGUCACUGUAAUUACAGAUGGAAGAAGUUCCAUCCUAUCAACUUUGAGGAAGUCUCUGGCUGCCUUCCUGCUUGACAGAGCAGUGAGUGAUGAAUUCUGCUGAAAAUUGACAGUGGGAUGCCUAACAAACAGCAUAAGCCAUCAAGCUGUAUUUUUAACCAACAUGUAUUAUCCCCAUUGAAAAUCAAAACCUCCUCUUGGUGUUUCCCCCUCCUUUAAGGAGUGCACUUUCUUCUACCUGGAAAUGGCUCUCCUCCCUCUCCAAAAUGCUCAGUCUGGACAGUUAUUGCCCUAAACAAUGGAUGAACUCACUCGCUGGGAGCUCUUCUUGGCCCUCUGCAGCAGCACUAGACAGUCUGGCCAGUCUCUUCUGGAGGGUGGGGCUCUCAGAGAUCUGCUGCUGGCUGCUCUCAGCUGAGUUGGAGUUAGAAGCUUUGCAUCUACUGGCUGGCCUCAGCCCUGCUCUCUUUCUGUCUGUCAUUUCUCCUUAGCCUCCCUUAGAUCCCUGCAGAACUAAUUUCUGCAGAAAGUACUGGGUACCCUUCUGGGGCAGCUGCUGCCUCCAUGUGACUGCUCACAAGCGAGGUACAUUUCUGCAGCUGGCAACACCAAGAUGAACAUUCUCUUCCUCAGUGGAGCUGCAUUCUAUAAAGGGACUGUGCUCUCAGCCCAUACGUAAAGAACAAGUACCAUUUAGAGUCAAACUGAAUUUGGAAAAUCUCACGUUGGAGACCACAUACCACUCUCAGUAGAUUCAGCACAACCAGAUUUUCCUCCAGGGUUGGCACAGAUUGCUAUUUCCUGAUUUGGAUACAAGAAUAAUUCAUGUGUUUUUUUAUUUUAGUAGCCGCCACGUAAAAUCACACCUAGCAUGGCAAGAAGCUCACACUGUAUAAGAAGCAGAAGAGAAUGAUACCCAGCUGCAUUCUCAGCCUGUGGUUGCUUCACCCUCACAGUCAUCUAGAAAGUGUGCUUAAACCAUGGAAAGGCCACUGUAUUACCUACUCUGGUCUCUCUCUCCCUCUCCCCUCUCUCUCCUUCCCUCUAUCCUUCCCCACUUCCUGGCUCCAUCUCAUCAUCUUCUCUUCACUUUCUUCUCCCUCUUUCUCUCUGUCUUUUCCAUUUUAUUCCCCUCAUUCCCUUCCCCUACCUCUGUUCUCUGACACAAACAGGAAUCAUUGUAUGUAUCAUAUGAUGUCUUCAGAUAGGUGCCUUAAAAAAAGUCAAAUCAUCCUGUCCUAUCCCACCCAGAGUUCUUAGUGCUCAUCAAGGAAACUCCGCCUUAACUUGUUCCACAGUUUUCCUUUCACUCUCAGAGGUCUUGAUCUUCUUUCCCAUUGUUUCAGCUACUAUAAUACUUGACUGAGGGGUUCCCGUUGUGGCUCAGUGGUUAACGAAUCCGACUAGGAACACUGAGGUUGCAGGUUCGAUCCCUGGCCUUGCUCAGUGGGUUAAGGAUCUGGCGUUGCCGUGAGCUGUGGUGUAGGUUGCAGAUGCAACUCAGAUCCUGCAUUGCUGUGGCUCUGGCACAGGCCAACGGCUACAGCUCCGAUUCGACCCCUAGCCUGGGAAGCUCCAGAUGCCACAGGAGCAUCCCUAGAAAAUGCAAAAAGACAAAAAUAAAUAAAUAAAACACUUGACCGAGACACUUGAAGUAGAUUAUUAAGUGAUUCUAGGGGAUGUUUUGUCUUCUCUGCCCCACUAUCCCUGUGUUAAAUUCCAUUUGACAAAUAAUGGCCAAGCAGCUGGAAUGCAAGAGGCCUUUCCUUCCACCAGAGCCUCCUUCCUCCUCUUGGCUGUGGCAGAUCAAAGUCUUUUCUCACCUUAGCACAUCCACCCACUUCAGAUAUGCUUCACCCCCCAUCCCUUAGAACUUGGCCCAGUGUGGUGCCUCACAGACUGUCAGUUCCUAACAUGAUCUUCUGCAGGAUCCAGUGACAGUGUCUUCCUUCAUUGUUUCCACCUUGAUCCAUCCGGCCCUAUUUCCUUGAUCAUGAGGAAGACAUCUUGCUCCUUCCUACUCAUCAGACCUUCAUCUCAUCCAUAUUUCCUUUUUCCUCAAAUGCCCCCUUUCUCUCUGCCUAUCUAGGGACACUCAGUUCUCAAAGAGCAUCUCUUCUCUCAAUCUUGCUCUGACAAAAUCAUUGAUUCCUCUUCUCAACUUCUAUACAUGAAGUCUAUAUUAAGCACUGCAUAGGGAGUUCCUGUUGUGACUCAGCGGGUUACAAACCCAACCUGUAUCCAUGAGGAUGCAAGUUCAGUCCAUGGCCUCGCUUAGUGGGUUAAGGAUCCAGGAUGGCCACGAGCUGUUGUGUAAGUUGCAGAGACAGCUUGGAUAACAUGUUGAUGUGACUGUGGUGUAGGCUGGAAGCUGUAGCUCCAAUUCGACCCCUAGCCUGGGAAAUUCCAUAUGCCAUACUAGCAUGUGCCAUAUAUAUAUUAUUUAAUUAUUAUUAAAUAUGUAUUUAAUUUAACUGAAGCAAUUAAAUAUGUCAUUGAUCCCAUGGGUCCCCAUAUAUCCAUGGGCCAGAUUUGCUUAGUGAAUAUGUUCAUUUUUCAUAUACAAUAUUUUUAAACUUUUCAUGUGUUCCCUUUGAAAGAUUUCCCAUUUAAAUUCUGAUUCCCUGCUUCCCCACCCCAGAAAGACAGAUCUGCAAACCUGUAUCUGCAUUCCCCCCUCUUGGGCAGAAUUCUGGCUCUCGCACCCCCAUCAACUCACCUGAGGCCCAGGCUCUGCAGGGUCCACCUGUCACAUCCAAGUCCUUGUUCUCCCUUAUGUUAUCUGUCAUCCAGCUGUGUAAGGAUUUCACACAAUAUCUGGCAAUAACUGCUGCUGCAUUUGUGGUUAGGAAGUACCUUUCAUAUUUGUCAGUGAAUCAUGUCUUACCUUCUAACUGAACAGUGAACUCCUUGAGGACAUGGUCCAUAUAUAAAGAGUUAACCAAACACUAUUUUUCUGGAGAAAACUGGGCACAUUGAGAUCCAUAGUAGAUUUUCUAAAAGGAGCAUAAUGUUACCUGAGCUUUUAUAAGGGAAACGGGGUUAAGGGAGGUGAACAUCUGCUGAGAGGGAGGAUUUAGGAGCCCCAGUUGUCAAAACAAGAGAAAAAGCAUAUCUACGUGGUACAAUUUCUCAGAAGAAAAACAUAAUAACUGAAUGAAUGUGUCUAAAGUAAGACUUAGUCCCAUUCCAUUUCAAUCAUUCUAUUAGAGAAGAAAUGAGUUAGCCCCUGAGAUAUGGCAUUCACCGUGCUGGGUCCUUGAGAUGCAAGGACAAGGAAGACACCAAGUCCUUACCAUUACACUAAGAGUUUAAGCAAGAAAAGAAGAGAAAAUUUUCUUUUUCAGAUUUAUUGAAAUAUUCCUUUUGUCUUACACAUAAACAAGGUGAUAUAAAGCACAGGGAACUAUAUCUAAUCACUUGUGAUGGAACAUGAUGGAGGAUAAUGUGAGAAAAAGAAUGGAUAUAUAUGUAUAUACACAUAUAUGUAUAAGUGGGUCACUUUGCUGUACAGCAGAAAUUGACAGAACAUUGUAAAUCAACUAUAAUAAAAUUUAAAAAAAAAACAAGUGAAGAAUCUCACCAACAGGAAUUGCCAUACUAUUUUCCAUAAUGACUGCACCAACUUAGAUCCCUGACAACAGUGUAUAAGGGAUCCUUUUUCUUUACUUCCUCGCCAACAUUGCCAUCUCUUGUCUUUUUGAUAGCCAUCCUAACAGGUGUGAGGUGAUUGCUUGUUGUAGUUUUGGUUUGUGUUUCCUUGAUGAUUAAUGAUGUUGAGUGAUUUUUCAUAUGCCUCUUGCCAUUACGUAUGUUCUCUUUGGAAAAAUAUCUGUUUAGUCAUAGCUUUGAACAAGCAUGUGGCCCAUGUACUUUGUCCACCAUGUUCUAUUUCUUUCCUGGGAGGAACAAAGUGUGGUGGGAGACAUACCAGCUUUUAGAAACAAGUAGACAUAGAUUCAAAGUCUAACUGUUUGAUUUAUUAGUAAUGAAUGAGAUGAUAACUGAAAGUGAAGAAGGAAUUGACUAGAUGAGGAGGGAGGAGGCAUCGUUAAUGAAGGGAUUGGAAUGUGGAAAGGCCCUGAGGUGAGUGAAAGCAAAGCUCCUUCAGAAAAUCUAAAGAAGGUCCCCAUGGCCAAGCACAGAAGUAAGUAUGACAGCAGCAUAAGAUAAAGCCAGAAGAGCAGGUAAGGGCAAGACUCUGCUGGGCCCCAUGUGGUAUGAUGUGGGUAGUAUUUAUUCUGAGAGCAAUAGCAGAACAUUGUACAUUUUGGGGCUUUAAACGGAUGUAGGGAGGUCAGUAAAAAAAGAGCCAAAAAGAGCUAAUUUACCACUUAUGUUUAUCACUGCGGCUUCACUGAGGAGAACGCCUGGAGAGGGCCAGAGUGGAUAUGGAGACACCACUUAGAAGACCAACGCAAAGGAAUAUGGUGGCUUGAUCUUGGAUGAUGGUGAUGAAGACAGAAGGAAGGGAAUUUAUUGGAAAGAGAUGAGAGAACUGAAAUCAAUAGGAUUUGUUGAUUUAUUGGGUAUAAGAUGGGCAAAGUAGGCUGCUAGGUUCAUUGCAGUGUAACUCCAUUGUCUGAUGUGUUUGGUCCUAUGCUGAGCCCAUAGUGAGUAGCUAUUGUACGAUUGUCAUCUGAUGGGGGACAGAGAGUGAGGAGUGGUGAGGAGUGAGAAUCUGGAGGCUUUUGUCCCACCAGCC
rnacentral:lncRNA from 1 species